CCUGUUGUUUCCUGUGUUGUUAAUUUUAGUCAUCCUGACAGAUAUGAGGGAUAAAUGAAGUGUUCCACCAGCAAUGACUCAUACCUCCAAAACUGUUUUUGAAGAUCCACGGGGCCAACUCGUAUUUACCUCUGAGAAGUUCAGCCUGGGUGGCCAAGGAUGCCAGAGAGCUGCUGUGGACGAGAGAACAAUCAGUGAAGCAAUUCAAGCCCCUCCUCCUUGUAGUUUUCCCUGUGCCACGGACCCGUGGAAGAGAUGGGGCCAGUUUUCCUGUAGAAAGUCCCUUUCUCUGGAUUGAUCUGCUUGCUCCCCUGAGGGGAUGAGACUUUGUCAGCCUGUGGCUAUCACCCCACGGCUUUGGCAUUCAUUGAUGAUUGUAGCCUGGAUCAGUUAUUUCAAUUGUGAUUUUAAAGCUGUCCCUACUUCCACAUUUAUAAAUGGAAUGCUUCUGCAAAGAAGAGCUUUCCCACAUCAGCUGGAGUUCCUUGGUAACCCGGAAUUCCAGUUUGUAUCGAGAGAGACAGAGCAUGAACGGGGGAAGGGCAGAGAGAGAGGGAG